rnacentral:rRNA from 1 species
UGCAGUUGACGAUUCUUCGGAUGCGAGUACAGUGGCGGACGGGUGAGUAAUACAUAGGAAUCUACCCAAUGGAGGGGGAUAGCUCGAGGAAACUCGAAUUAAUACCGCAUAAUCUCCACGGAGUAAAGAGGGCUUCGGCUCUCGCCAUCGGAUGAGCCUAUGCAAGAUUAGCUUGUUGGUAAGGUAAUGGCUUACCAAGGCUACGAUCUUUAGCUGGUUUGAGAGGACGACCAGCCACAUCGGGACUGAGACACGGCCCGGACUUCUACGGAAGGCAGCAGUAGGGAAUAUUGGACAAUGAGCGAAAGCUUGAUCCAGCCAUGCCGCGUGUGCGAUGAAGACCUUAGGGUUGUAAAGCACUUUAGGUUAUGAGAAAAGAUUUGGUAUUAAUACCACCAAAUUUUGAUGUUAAUUUCAGAAUAAGCACCGGCUAAAUCCGUGCCAGCAGCCGCGGUAAUACGGAUGGUGCAAGCGUUAAUCGGAAUUACUGGGCGUAAAGCGCGCGUAGGUGGCCUAUCAAGUUAGAUGUGAAAUCCCGGGGCUUAACCUCGGAACUGCAUCUAAAACUGAUAAGCUAGAGUACUAGAGAGGAAAGUAGAAUUCUUAGUGUAGCGGUGGAAUGCGUAGAUAUUAAGAGGAAUACCAGUGGCGAAGGCAACUUUUCUGGAUAAUACUGACACUGAGGUGCGAAAGCGUGGGGAGCAAACAGGAUUAGAUACCCCUGGUAGUCCACGCCGUAAACGAUGAUAACUAGCCGUUGGAAUUUUCAGUGGCGC